CAUGUCUUUUUGUGAAUUAUUUAAAGUCUAAUCUGCCCACUGAAUGUUUUAAAGGGCCGCAGUAAUUUGACUGUGCAAAGGUAGCAUAAUCAUUUGUCUUUUAAUUGAAGGCUGGUAUGAAUGAUUGGACGAGGUAAAUACUGUCUCAUUAUUAAAAUAAUAAAAAUUUAGCUUUUUAGUUAAAAGGCUAGGAUUUUGUUGGAGGACGAGAAGACCCUAUAGAUCUUUAUGUUAUUAUGUUUAUUUUUAUUUUGGGUUUAAAAUUUUUAAUAUAUUUAUUAAUAUUUUGUUGGGGUGACAUGAAAAUUAAGUAAACUUUUCAUAUUUUAUAACAUUGAUUAAUGAUUUUUUGAUCCAUUUUUAUUGAUUGUAAGAAUAAGUUACCUUAGGGAUAACAGCGUUAUUUUAUUGGAGAGUUCAUAUUGAUAAUAAAGUUUGCGACCUC
rnacentral:rRNA from 1 species